AGUGAACGCUGGCGGUAGGCCUAACACAUGCAAGUCGAACGGCAGCACAGUAAGAGCUUGCUCUUACGGGUGGCGAGUGGCGGACGGGUGAGGAAUACAUCGGAAUCUACUUUUUCGUGGGGGAUAACGUAGGGAAACUUACGCUAAUACCGCAUACGACCUACGGGUGAAAGCAGGGGAUCUUCGGACCUUGUGCGAUUGAAUGAGCCGAUGUCGGAUUAGCUAGUUGGCGGGGUAAAGGCCCACCAAGGCGACGAUCCGUAGCUGGUCUGAGAGGAUGAUCAGCCACACUGGAACGGGGACACGGUCCAGAGUCCUACGGGAGGCAGCAGUGGGGAAUAUUGGACAAUGGGCGGAAGCCUGAUCCAGCCAUACCGCGUGGGUGAAGAAGGCCUUCGGGUUGUAAAGCCCUUUUGUUGGGAAAGAAAAGCAGCAGGUUAAUACCCCGCUGUUCUGACGGUACCCAAAGAAUAAGCACCGGCUAACUUCGUG
rnacentral:rRNA from 1 species